GGCGGACGGGUGAGUAAUGCCUAGGAAUCUGCCUGGUAGUGGGGGACAACGUCUCGAAAGGGACGCUAAUACCGCAUACGUCCUACGGGAGAAAGUGGGGGCUCUUCGGACCUCACGCUAUCAGAUGAGCCUAGGUCGGAUUAGCUAGUUGGUGAGGUAAUGGCUCACCAAGGCGACGAUCCGUAACUGGUCUGAGAGGAUGAUCAGUCACACUGGAACUGAGACACGGUCCAGACUCUAUACGGGAGGCAGCAGUGGGGAAUAUUGGACAAUGGGCGAAAGCCUGAUCCAGCCAUGCCGCGUGUGUGAAGAAGGUCUUCGGAUUGUAAAGCACUUUAAGUUGGGAGGAAGGGUUGUACGUUAAUACCGUGCAAUUUUGACGUUACCGACAGAAUAAGCACCGGCUAACUCUGUGCCAGCAGCCGCGGUAAUACAGAGGGUGCAAGCGUUAAUCGGAAUUACUGGGCGUAAAGCGCGCGUAGGUGGUUUGUUAAGUUGGAUGUGAAAUCCCCGGGCUCAACCUGGGAACUGCAUCCAAAACUGGCAAGCUAGAGUAGGGCAGAGGGUGGUGGAAUUUCCUGUGUAGCGGUGAAAUG
rnacentral:rRNA from 2 species